rnacentral:rRNA from 1 species
UAACUGCGAGUGAAGCGGGAAGAGCUCAAAUUUAAAAUCUGGCGGUUUUGCCGUCCGAGUUGUAAUCUGGAGAAGCGUUUUCCGUGCUGGACCGUGUACAAGUCUCUUGGAAUAGAGCGUCAUAGAGGGUGAGAAUCCCGUCUCUGACACGGACUGCCAGUGCUUUGUGAUACGCUCUCGAAGAGUCGAGUUGUUUGGGAAUGCAGCUCAAAAUGGGUGGUAAAUUCCAUCUAAAGCUAAAUAUUGGCGAGAGACCGAUAGCGAACAAGUACCGUGAGGGAAAGAUGAAAAGCACUUUGGAAAGAGAGUUAAACAGUACGUGAAAUUGUUGAAAGGGAAACGCUUGAAGUCAGUCGCGUCUUCUGGGACUCAGCGUGGCUUCUGCCUCGUGUACUUCCCAGUCGACGGGUCAACAUCGAUUUUGGUUGGCGGAUAAGGGCUUGRGGAAUGUGGCACCUCCGGGUGUGUUAUAGCCUCUUUUCGGAUGCGCUGGCUGGGAUCGAGGACCGCAGCACGCCUUUUUGGCCGGGGUUUACCCACGUAACGUGCUUAGGAUGUUGGCAUAAUGGCUUUAAGCGACCCGUCUUGAAACACGGACCAAGGAGUCUAACACGCCUGCGAGUGUUAGGGUGGAAAACCCUUGCGCGUAAUGAAAGUGAAAGUUGGGACCUCUGUCAUGGAGGGCACCGACGCCCGGCCCUGAACUUCUGUGACGGCGCUGCGGUAGAGCAUGUGUGUUGGGACCCGAAAGAUGGUGAACUAUGCCUGAAUAGGGCGAAGCCAGAGGAAACUCUGGUGGAGGCUCGUAGCGAUUCUGACGUGCAAAUCGAUCGUCAAAUUUGGG